CCUACGGGAGGCAGCAGUGAGGAAUAUUGGUCAAUGGACGCAAGUCUGAACCAGCCAUGCCGCGUGCAGGAAGACGGUCCUAUGGAUUGUAAACUGCUUUUGUACGGGAAGAAACACUCCUACGUGUAGGAGCCUGACGGUACCGUAAGAAUAAGGAUCGGCUAACUCCGUGCCAGCAGCCGCGGUAAUACGGAGGAUCCAAGCGUUAUCCGGAAUCAUUGGGUUUAAAGGGUCCGUAGGCGGUUUAAUAAGUCAGUGGUGAAAUCUGGUCGCUCAACGAUCAAACUGCCAUUGAUACUGUUAGACUUGAAUUACUGUGAAGUAACUAGAAUAUGUAGUGUAGCGGUGAAAUGCUUAGAUAUUACAUGGAAUACCAAUUGCGAAGGCAGGUUACUAACAGUUGAUUGACGCUGAUGGACGAAAGCGUGGGGAGCGAACAGGAUUAGAUACCCUGGUAGUCCACGCCGUAAACGAUGGAUACUAGUUGUUUGGAUUUAUCUGAGUGACUAAGCGAAAGUGAUAAGUAUCCACCUGGGGAGUACGAACGCAAGUUUGAAACUUCAAAUGAAUUGACGGNNGNGNGNGCGAGACGACGACGAGGAGAGG
rnacentral:rRNA from 1 species